CAAGUACUCCCUCCGUCCGGAAAUACAUGUCGAAGAAAUGAAUGUAUCUAGACGUAUUUAGUUCUAGAUGCAUCCAUUUUUACCUAUUUCUCCGACGAGUAUUUCUGGACGGAGGAAGUACUAU
rfam:Triticum aestivum genome assembly, contig: Triticum_aestivum_CS42_TGACv1_scaffold_249146_3DL